rnacentral:rRNA from 1 species
GAUUUCUGGUAUGGUGCGCCUGGCCCACGGUUGCAAAACCGCGAGUGUCGGUGUGCGCCUGCCAUCUUUCUAGUUAACUGGACGCACUUAACUGGGCGGUCAGCGAUCUAGUUCUUUUACUUUGAAAAAAUUAGAGUGUUUAAAGCAGGCUUGCGCUAUGAAUACAUUAGCAUGGAAUAAUAAUUUAGGACUUUUCUCCUAUUUUAUUGGUUUCUAGGAGUGAAGUAAUGAUUGAUAGGGAUAGUUGGGGGUGCUAGUAUUCAUCGGCCAGAGGUGAAAUUCUUGGAUUCGAUGAAGACUAACUAAUGCGAAAGCAUU